GGCCUCGUGGCCUAAUGGCUAGGGCGCUAGAUUUCGGUGUCACAUUCUGAUCCUCUAGAGAUUGUCGGUUCGAGUCCGGCCGAGGUCG
rnacentral:tRNA from 1 species